AAUACGGGGGGGGCAAGCGUUGUUCAGAAUUACUGGGCGUAAAGGGCUCGUAGGCGGCCAACUAAGUCAGACGUGAAAUCCCUCGGCUUAACCGGGGAACUGCGUCUGAUACUGGAUGGCUAGAGUUUGGGAGAGGGAUGCGGAAUUCCAGGUGUAGCGGUGAAAUGCGUAGAUAUCUGGAGGAACACCGGUGGCGAAGGCGGCAUCCUGGACCAACACUGACGCUGAGGAGCGAAAGCCAGGGGAGCAAACGG
rnacentral:rRNA from 1 species